rfam:Musa acuminata subsp. malaccensis Doubled-haploid Pahang (DH-Pahang) genomic chromosome, chr10
GGGGGUGUAGCUCAUACGGUAGAGCGCUCGCUUUGCAUGCGAGAGGCACGGGGUUCGAUUCCCCGCACCUCCA